CCUACGGGAGGCAGCAGUAGGGAAUAUUGCGCAAUGGGGGAAACCCUGAAGCAGCAACGCCGCGUGGAGGAUGAAGGUUUUCGGAUUGUAAACUCCUUUUGUUAGAGAAGAGAAUGACGGUAUCUAACGAAUAAGCACCGGCUAACUCCGUGCCAGCAGCCGCGGUAAUACGGAGGGUGCAAGCGUUACUCGGAAUCACUGGGCGUAAAGAGCGCGUAGGCGGGAUAGCAAGUCAGAUGUGAAAUCCUAUGGCUUAACCAUAGAACUGCAUUUGAAACUGUUAUUCUAGAGUAUGGGAGAGGUAGGUGGAAUUCUUGGUGUAGCGGUGAAAUCCGUAGAGAUCAAGAGGAAUACUCAUUGCGAAGGCGACCUACUAGAACAUAACUGACGCUGAUGCGCGAAAGCGUGGGGAGCAAACAGGAUUAGAUACCCGAGUAGUC
rnacentral:rRNA from 1 species